rnacentral:tRNA from 1 species
GCCUUGGUAGCUCAGCCUGGUAGAGCGAACGCCUCGUAAGCGUUAGGUCGCGUGAUCGAGUCACGCCCAAGGCU